UGCGUAGGCGGAAUAAUAAGUCAGUGGUGAAAGCCUGCGGCUCAACCGUAGAAUUGCCAUUGAUACUGUUAUUCUUGAGUAUAGUUGAGGUGGGCGGAAUGUGUAAUGUAGCGGUGAAAUGCAUAGAUAUUACACAGAACACCAAUUGCGAAGGCAGCUCACUAAACUAUCACUGACGCUGAGGCACGAAAGCGUGGGGAGCAAACAGGAUUAGAUACCCUGGUAGUCC
rnacentral:rRNA from 1 species